rnacentral:lncRNA from 1 species
AACCUUUAGCAAUAGCGUUUUGAAUACCAGAGAAUUGAAUUGACAGUGGAGAGAAACCCUGUGAAGAUAAUGGAUGUGGGAAAGCCUUCUAUCAAUUCACACCUCAUUAGAUAUCAGAAUUUACAUGGAGCCCCGUGAAUGUAAAUAAUGUGGGAAGCUCUUCAAGUAGAGUUCAGCAUGCCUUGAUCAGAAAAUUCAAGCUAGAUUGACUUUCUGUGUAAUGAAUAUGGGAAAGCCUUCAUGGAGCACAUCUUGAUUGCACUUAAGAUAAGUCAUAUUUGAGAAAUAUCCUAUGAAUGGAAAGAAUGUUGGAAAAUCUUCAGGUAGAUCUUUGAUGCUAUUAAAUGUCAGAGUGGAAAUAAACCCUUAUGAAUGUAAACAGUAUGUUUAAGGCUUCAACUAGAGCUUGGACCUCAUUCAGCAUCAGAAAAUUCAAACCUGAUAUUUGAACCUUUGAAUGCAAUUAAUAUAGGAAUGAGACCUACAGUUUUGUUGCAUCUCAAAGUAUCCAGACUAGCGCUAGAUUUUAUAAAACUUUGAAAUUAAAGACCCUGAUAUUCCCAGGGUAAAAGACUAGAACCUACGAGUUUCUUUCUUGAAUCAACUGCUCUCCCUAAGCACUCUUACUACAGUGAGCCCUGUAGAAGCUGCCUUCCCUGCAUAUUAUCAAGUUGAUGACCUCGAACAUAUGAAACAACCCUUUCAAGCCUCUUGAAGAAGUCAUACCCCCGUCAGCUUAGCUUUUACCUGUUGACCACCUCUCUUUUUAGUCUGACCUGCCUUGUUCUUUUUCCCAACAACAACGAAAACUAAGCACCAGGUUUGGACCUGUGCUCCACCCACAUCCACAGAGGCUCCUAGCUCAAGCCAAGGAAUUUUGCCUCAACUAUUUGACAGGCUCCGUCUAACUGCGCAGAAGCAAAGGAGACAAGCUGAUGCCAGGUGCUCCCCUGACAGCCAGAUCCCAGGUGAGCUGUGGCUCCCUCUAGUGUUCCCAAGUUGUCAUUACUGCCAGUUGAAUCUAACCUCAAC